rnacentral:rRNA from 1 species
AGGGCUUCGCAAGGCGGUUUUUUAAGUUCUGAAGGUGAAAAGCCCCCGGCUUAACCGGGGAGGGUCAUUGGAAACUGGGGAACUUGAGUGCAGAAGAGGAGAGUGGAAUUCCACGUGUAGCGGUGAAAUGCGUAGAGAUGUGGAGGAACACCAGUGGCGAAGGCGACUCUCUGGUCUGUAACUGACGCUGAGGAGCGAAAGCGUGGGGAGCGAACAGGAUUAGAUACCCUGGUAGUCCACGCCGUAAACGAUGAGUGCUAAGUGUUAGGGGGUUUCCGCCCCUUAGUGCUGCAGCUAACGCAUUAAGCACUCCGCCUGGGGAGUACGGUCGCAAGACUGAAACUCAAAGGAAUUGACGGGGGCCCGCACAAGCGGUGGAGCAUGUGGUUUAAUUCGAAGCAACGCGAAGAACCUUACCAGGUCUUGACAUCCUCUGACAAUCCUAGAGAUAGGACGUCCCCUUCGGGGGCAGAGUGACAGGUGGUGCAUGGUUGUCGUCAGCUCGUGUCGUGAGAUGUUGGGUUAAGUCCCGCAACGAGCGCAACCCUUGAUCUUAGUUGCCAGCAUUCAUUUGGGCACUCUAAGGUGACUGCCGGUGACAAACCGGAGGA